AGGAAUAUUGGUCAAUGGACGCGAGUCUGAACCAGCCAAGUAGCGUGAAGGAUGACUGCCCUAUGGGUUGUAAACUUCUUUUGUCAGGGAAGAGUAGAAGACGGUACCUGACGAAUAAGCCACGGCUAACUACGUGCCAGCAGCCGCGGUAAUACGUAGGUGGCAAGCGUUGUCCGGAUUUACUGGGUGUAAAGGGCGUGUAGCCGGGUUGACAAGUCAGAUGUGAAAUCCUGCGGCUUAACCGCAGAACUGCAUUUGAAACUGUUGAUCUUGAGUACUGGAGAGGCAGACGGAAUUCCUAGUGUAGCGGUGAAAUGCGUAGAUAUUAGGAGGAACACCAGUGGCGAAGGCGGUCUGCUGGACAGCAACUGACGGUGAGGCGCGAAAGCGUGGGGAGCAAACAGG
rnacentral:rRNA from 1 species